rnacentral:lncRNA from 1 species
CGGCAAGGGGCGUAGGGCUGGCUGGAGCUGGAGGAACUGUGCCCGGAGAUGUCUGGAUUGCUGGGUGGAAUCACUGCAGUAAGUGCAACGUGACGCUAUCCAGAGCCCUGGAGACCUUUUGUGAUCUGCAGUCCCCAGCCACCAUCGCCUUAAAAGUCCCUUCCUUCCUUCGCUGGGAAUUUCCCGACGUCCUGUUAAGAGCACACUCCUGGAAGUGCUGCCGUGUCCUCAGCUGGAAACUGACCUCACACUCCUAUUGUAUUGUUGUGCUGUUGAUCCCAAUCUGAGGUGUUACUUACCUGAUCCUGUAUCUCCUUCCUUAUAAAGAGCCAA